rnacentral:rRNA from 1 species
UGCAGUCGAACGGAUCCUUCGGGAUUAGUGGCGGACGGGUGAGUAACACGUGGGAACGUGCCUUUUGGUUCGGAACAACUCAGGGAAACUUGAGCUAAUACCGAAUGUGCCCUUCGGGGGAAAGAUUUAUCGCCAUUAGAGCGGCCCGCGUCUGAUUAGCUUGUUGGUGAGGUAAAGGCUCACCAAGGCUACGAUCAGUAGCUGGUCUGAGAGGAUGAUCAGCCACAUUGGGACUGAGACACGGCCCAAACUCCUACGGGAGGCAGCAGUGGGGAAUCUUGCGCAAUGGGCGAAAGCCUGACGCAGCCAUGCCGCGUGAAUGAUGAAGGUCUUAGGAUUGUAAAAUUCUUUCACCGGGGACGAUAAUGACGGUACCCGGAGAAGAAGCCCCGGCUAACUUCGUGCCAGCAGCCGCGGUAAUACGAAGGGGGCUAGCGUUGCUCGGAAUUACUGGGCGUAAAGGGAGCGUAGGCGGAUAGUUUAGUCAGAGGUGAAAGCCCAGGGCUCAACCUUGGAAUUGCCUUUGAUACUGGCUAUCUUGAGUAUGGGAGAGGUUAGCGGAACUCCGAGUGUAGAGGUGAAAUUCGUAGAUAUUCGGAAGAACACCAGUGGCGAAGGCGGCUAACUGGCCCAUUACUGACGCUGAGGCUCGAAAGCGUGGGGAGCAAAC